GCAAAGCCCUGGGCAGGACCUGGACAUGCAGAUCUGGUCAGGUCCUAGUAGGGAGUUUGAAGCUUAUUCAAAAGGCAACAGGAAAGCAUUGGAAGAUUUUAGGCAAAGGGACAGGAUCAGAUUUGUAUUCUAAAAGGAUCUCUUUGCCUACUGUGGCCAUCGAUGGAAAGGAGCAAGGCCAGAGACCAGUUAGGACACAGCCAUGGAAAUGCAGCCUGGAGGUGAUGUAGUUGUCUUUGCACCCCAGAAUGUAAGCUCCUUGACGGCAGGGCUUUUUGCUGGGUUUGUUUACUAAAUCUCAAGCACCUAGGACAGUGUAUGGCACAUAAUAGGUGAUCAAAUAUUUGUUGAACAAAGAGAGUAGGGCUGGAGCGGGUUAAAGAGAGGAGCACAUGGGGAGGAAAUUGGGAAGUGGGCUGCAUAGGCUUUGUUAAUCUUUCUUGAAACCUUUAAAAUCUAUUGAUUUAAAUAGUCAUGCUUCUUUGCAUCCUUUCCAUAACAAAUCCAUUUGAUUCAAAAUAAAAUACCUAAGUUAUUUUUCAAAUAAAAUAUUAGCUUUUUAAAAGUCUACAGUUUUCAGACAUCGCUGUCACCUCAAAAUGCUCCCUCGUGCCUAAUCCCCAUUCCCACCCCUAGACCCAGGCAAAUACUGCUCUGCUGUUUGUCUUUAUAGACUUGCUUUUUACAGAUAUUUCAAAUAAAUGGAAACACAAUAUGUUAUCUUCUGUGUCCGGCUUCUUUCACUUAGCAUAUUGUUUUUGAGAUUCAUCCACACUGUAGCAUAUUUCAAUAGUUCAUUGCUUUUUAUUGUCAAACAGCAUUCCACUUUAUAUAUGCCAUAUCUUAUUUAUCCAUUUACCGGCUGAUGGACAUUUGGACUGUCCCACAUUUUGUCUACUAUCAAUAAUGCCUCUGUGGACAUCUGUGUACAAGUCUUUGAGUGGACACAACAGAGGCCUUGGUAAUUUGAAUUAGAUGUAGGAGGUGCUCAGAAAAUGGGAGGUCAAGUGAGAUGCCUGUAUUUUAGGCUUGGACAACUGGGUAGAUGAAGAUUCAAGUUACUAGAAUGGGGAAAACUGGAGGAAGAACAGCUUUGAUGGGACAAAUGACCUCAGUCUGGGGCAUGUGCCUAGGAGCCAGGAGUGGGUAUGCCCAGUAGGCAGGAGGACACGUGGGCCUGGAAAUUAGCUCCCUCAGAAUGCCAUCAAAGUCUCAAUUUUUAAGCAGCCUGUCUCAUGUUUGACUUACUUCUCUUUAACUUUGGCUCAUCAUUACAGAAAUCUGACCAAAGAAGAAAUUCAUAAAGCAUCACAUCAAAUACUCACUUUGGUUUGUGUACUAAUUAUAAUGACAUCUUCUCUUUGUUCAACUUCUGCUUUUUUAAAAUUGUGAUGAAAUAUACAAAAUUUACCAUCUUAAUCAUUUUUAAGGGUGCAGAUCAGUGGCAUUAAGGACAUUCAGAGUGCUGUGCAGCCGUCACCACCGCCUGCCUCCAGGGCUCUCCCAUCGUCUCAAACUGGAACACUGCAUUCACUCAAUAAUAAC